UCCAUUGACGAAAUAAUAAUUUAAAUCAUUUGGGAGGCCGGUUUCUUGCCCUGCCUGUCAGGGCCAACCCAGGCUGUGAGGGAUACAGCACUGUGACAAAAAGACUGAGAAUAUACACAAUAAAAAUUUCUCUUAACUCGGGAAUCGAAAUCAUGGCUCCUGCGUGCGAGAGCAAACACUGGUUUUCAUUUGGGAGAUGAAUGCAAUUGAAACGUUCCUUUUUAACAAGUCAAAUUGUAUCUGUUAGUGUUAGUAGAGUAGACAGUAGACAGCAGACACAGGUGCUUCCUUACCUGAGUUGGUAACAUACUGGACUAAGUAAGGAGUUGGUGGUUCUAGUUCAAAUCCCAGGCUGGAUGUUCUUGAAUUUGGGUUUUGUGUAGUUUCCAAGGCUCUCAACCGAGGCUACCAAAAUAAAUCAGACAAAGCAGGCCACGGCCCGCGCGAUUCGAGAGGGCUGGUCAGAUCAACUACUGACCAGGCGAGACGGACGCAGGUAGAAGCAGCGCAGUGCAUGAAUGACUCUCUCUCUCUCUCUCUCUCUCUCUCUCUCUCUCUCUCUCUCUCUCUCUCUCUCUCUCUCUCUCUCUCUCUCUCUCUCUCUCUCUCCCCCGGAAAAGUGGAACCAAAACUACUUAAUAUUCGUUUUUGUGGUGUUUUUUAAAGUGUGUUUGUGUGGGUGUGUUUGUUUUUCUCUCAUAAACCCAAAGACUUAAAUGGAGCUUGUUGAAGUGACGGAUUUAAAUUAGUUAAAGGCAAUCACUUUGAUGAGUUACUAAUUAAAGUAGCCCAAGCACCCUAAUAAGAAUCAAACGAAAACAGAAAGGUUUCGUUUUCUCAUCCUUACACCUUCAGGCCAGUGUCGGCCACAUACACCCAUGUCAUGUAUUUUGUGACAUUAUUUACAGUUUUCUCCUUGUUGGGAAUAGCUUUGAUCCAAUCACAACGUUGUUUUCGCUCACUGUCAAAAUUAGUGUCACAAUCACCAACAGAAUAGUUUCGUGGCAUCUUGAUAAAUGUUUAAACUACCAAAGAAGAAAAAAAAACAAAAAUAGAAAAAUACCAUAGAAUCGAUAUAAAUUAGGAUGAUUUUGGCUCUCAACUCUAAGGCAAGGGACCCUUGGUUUUCUUCCUCUGUCUUGAGUUUGAGUGAACUUGCAGUAGUUUUACUGACUAUAUCUAGAUCUAGAUCUAGUUUUAAACACUUGUACAAGUAAGUCGCAGUCACACAGGCACAGAUCUAAAGUAGAUCUCAAUGCUGCACUUGCUUUUUACUUUACUUUUACUUUUAUUGACAUCUCUAGAAUCUAGAUCUAGAUCUAGCCUACAAUCCUUUAAAAUGGGUACAAAUCACCUCUUGAUUUAAAAUUAUAAUGCCAACAACUGUAGCCCCCACCCAAAAUAAAAUAGAAACAUUGGAUAUCUAAUCUACUAAAUGGGAAAUUGUACAGUACAGUAAGGGUAACUUUCUCAUUCUGUCAACACCACUCGCGAGUUAAGUUGAGAAGAAAAACUUAAAGCUAGGAUCACCGACCUCUCCUACUCCUACUUCCCAGAGUCUCUAGUAUUAGGCCUAGAUCUAGGGGAAACAGAAUCUAUGAAGUUAACACAAUACGUACCAGAACACGAUAAUUAACUAUCACCGCAUUCAAAUCGGACACACACGGCUAAAGAAACACACUUUGGCACACACAACACAACAUGGCAUGGCACGCCAUUAUUCAUUGUUUAUGGUGGCAUUGUCUGUUGAUGGAUCACAUACUUCUCCUUGAUUCGAAUCAACACCAGCACUUAAUAAUAUCCUGAAAACAGAAUUUAUGCCAUAAAGCACAAAAAAAGUCAACUAUCACAUUCAAAUCGGGAGCAAGGCUAAUGAAACACACUCUGAAUGAAUACUUAGGAGCACGCACACAACACAACACGGCACGUCAUUGUCUACGACACCUUGUUAGCCUUGUAGGUACACACGGUUCAAAUUUGCCCCCGGCCUUCUCGAUAAGCCCUCUCGACCCUUUGUUUACAUUCGGCUGCUGUUCCUGCUUUAGUUCCGGUAUCCUCGCUCUCAACCCAUCUGGCUCUGAUAAAAAACUGUAAUGUAAAUGUUGACGAAAGGAAUGAGAAUGAUUGGGUAAGAAGGAAAGAAAGAAAGAAUACACGGUUUGAAAUUUGAAAUGAAUAAAUUAAAACUGAAUUAUAAUGACGCCACCGCAAUAUAAGAGAGAGAGAGAGAGCACAGCGUUGGGGGGACUUACUCGUGUGUUGCUUCUCUUCUUGUGUUGACUUCCCUGCUUGUGCUGAUCUAUUGGCUGGAAAAUUGAUGCCUUUUUGGCUGCAGCUUUGUUGCAUUUGAGUUCCUGGUUCAUGCACUUAAUGUGGUGGUGCAGUCUGAUAUUUGCAAACAGGCAAAUGAUUUAGAGUGUAAGGUUACUUUUUCCUUCUUUGCACAUUAAGUGUGCCAAAUGUUGGGCUUUUACCAUGUGUUGAAUAAACAGAUUGCGAAUUCCCACAAUGUGGAUUGACUUUCAUGAUGCUUGCUCCCUGAAAAUAACCUCCAUCUCUUGACAUGCAGUGAACAACAGAUCGCUAGCAGCCGAAAGUCCAUGCUGACAGCCUUCAAAAUUUUAAAAUAUAAAGAAUGUCUUACGUUGGUCAGCGACACAGGAGGUGUUGAAAUUAGUCUAGAGCCACUGGAUCUAGUUCACGUGAUGGUGUGUAUGGUACAAUGAGUUCUUGAAUGUAUGUGGGGGAUUAGUUAGUUUGACCUUUGAGGCAUAGUAGGGCUAACUUAUAUUCGAUUCUCACUUUCAGUGGAAGCCAAUGGAGCUCUUUAAGGAGGGCACUCGCAUAUGACGGCGUUUUGAUUGCUUUAAUACUAGUCUGGCAGCAUUGUUUUGAAUGUUUUGCAAUUUUUUCUUCAGGUAGGCCAGCGAACAGUGAAUUGCAAAAAUCAGUGCGUGACAAAAUGAAGGCAAACACUAGUUUUUUGGUGGCAUCAGUGCUAAGAAAUUUCCCUGAUUGAGCAAUUCUUCUCAUUUCUAAGUAUGAAAUUUUACAUGGAUGGUUAAGUUGGGUCACCAUGGACAAGUCUUUGUCUAAGUAUACUCCAAGAUUUUUUGCUUUGUUCGAAAAAGCGACAGUACCUUUGCCAAUGGUGAGACAUUCUACGUCAAGAGCAUUUAUCUUUGAGCUGGUUGAGCAUUGCAUGAUUUGUUUUGUCAUCAUUUAAUUUCAAUUUAUUUUCAGUCAUCCAUGCUUUUACAGAUUCAAAACAUUCUGAGAUGUUUUUUUAACAGAGAUUGAAUUUUGUUUGGUUUUGCAGAAUUGUAAAGUUGUGUAUUAUAUGCGUACAAAUGGUAGGGCAUGGAAUGGUGCACAAUUUUUCAAGCAAUACUUCGUCACAAUCACAAUAUAAUGUAUUUUACACAAAGGCGUUAAUUGUGAAUGAUGAUCUGCAAAAAUGUGCCUGCAAACAAUUCUUUGGACUUUAAACAUGAAACAAUGGCAUUUUGAAUCCAUAAUUUCAUAAUUUUGUCCAUUCCUGUCCUUCACAAUGUUGUCAUCAACUAGCAGGACCUUAUUUUCAAAUUUAAGUAGUUCUUCUUUUGUGGGGUUUGCUUGAUGCAAGGCCGUUGAAAAUGAAAUGAGUUUGAUAUCAUUGCCAAAUUUUGAUUUUUUGUUGCACAUUCCUUUCUUAAGAGAAAGUUUAGCUUUCGUGUAAAUAGGUCUAUAGUUUGCUGUGCAGUAAGUCUACGCGGCUCUCCUGAGGACUCCAUUGUGAACGAAAUGCAGAAAUGAAUUGGGGCAGCAAGGACUAGCUCAGGAUGCCGGUCUUGCUACAACGAGGACACAUGGCUGCGUGUCGGCAUCGCGACUGGCUAUGGCUGAAUUUCUGGCACUUGAAGCAACCAGAGGGUUCAGGGCAUAGGAUCGCACGUCAAGUACCAAGUAAGAUGCCCGAAUGGUAGCUGGAGGGCGACACGAAUCAAAUCUGGUGGUGUCUACGAUCGGCAGUGCACAACGUUUCUAGCUGCUAGUAACUGGCUAAGGAAGACAACCUGGCUCGCAAACCUGUUCCAGCAACAAAUGUGUCACGACGCCGUGGAAUCAGGCGCUCGUCAAUUUUUGGACAUAUGGAGUUAUUGGUACAUGUACCAUCUUAAAAGUUAAAGGGUGUUCAUUUGCCUGGCUUUCAAUGAAAAGAAUAUCAUCCAUUUAUCUUGAAUAGAAGUAGAAGUCGAGUAUAUGUGAUUGAAAUAGGUGGGAUCGCCUGGUUUCAGAGACAAAAUUAGCGAGAAAAUGGCCGGCAAAGUUUGGUGACUUCCAUCGUUUUUCCAGCAAAUCCGCACAUAAAAAGUGUUUUUGAAUCGAAGGUGCUGAGUCAAAAAACACAAAUUUGAAAAAAAAAUUAUUUUCCAAACUGGCCGAAAAAAGCUGAAUUCCUAUUUCACGGAUUUCAUUAUUUUGACGAGCGCCUGAUUUCACCAUGGUGCCUCACAAAUACAAUACUACUGCUGCUUGGAAUUUAUAAGUAUUAUAAGAAGCAACAAUGGUACCAGUAGCAGGAGUGGAAAGGACAUGGCGACAUGGAGUCAUUUCAGGAGCUUUCCUAUGUGAUCGAGAAGAAGAAGAAGGAGCUUUCCAGACUGCCCCUAAUUUCUCCAUGAAAUCCCACGUGUUGUCCAACACUGCAUGAUGCUGUAACGCUUGUUGGUAUAGAGAGACAAUCUGCAAUGUCAUGGAGAAUUUUAAUAAACUUAUCUUUUUAAAAAGAAAAAUGA